rnacentral:rRNA from 1 species
AUGGCGGAUCCAACGCAACAGGUGCAAGGGGGUGGGGAGGGAGAGAUCGGGGCGGCGGAAGCUUUGGCGGUAGCAGGAAGGCCGAGCGGACCGAGAGAAACGAAGGAGGGGGUUACGGAUGAGAAUAGGAGUAGGGAUGGAUUUGUUCACAGUUCGCAGGACGUGCGUAACCAAUUUGGAGGAGAGGAAGAGGAGUUUGCAGAUUAUCAUGGGCCUGAACCUGAUUUGGAGGAUCAAUUUGCAGGUAUGAAGCUCCAUGGAAGGGAGGAGGAAGAGCUAGAUUUCUCAGCGGAAGUUGAUGAACUGAUUAAGGAUGUACGUUGGCUUGCCCUGUUCCGUGUCCAUACUACGAAACCUUUUAGCCACGCUGCGCUCUUGUCUCAGAUGCGUAAUGCAUGGUCGGCGGCUCAAGGGGUGACGUUCAACAUCAAGGGACCCAAUCUGUUUCUUGUGCAAUGCCAUUGUCUAGGUGAUUGGAAGAGGAUUAUGGAUGGAGGGCCAUGGCUGUUUAGGAGGGCACCGGUGGUGAUCCAGGAGUAUGAUGGUUUUUCGGAUGUCAAAGGCUAUAGACUCAACAAAAUUCCAGUAUGGGUA